GCAGUUUGCUCCACAACCUGGAGAGUGUGGCACUUGGCAACCAGGCAAGUUUUAAAUAUAAAGAAUUUUACUUUAAACAAUACUUUCUUGUACAUGCAAAUAAAGGCAUGAUCUUUCUGCCUUAAAGAGACAUUGAUUAAUAUAAUUUCAUGUCUUUAUUUAACUACAGUAUAUAUGUGGCUAGGUUUCAGCACUGAAGGUUGACCUCGCAAGCAGGAGAGAGCCCAUUUUCCAUAAUCAGGAAUACAAACAAAUCGGGUAUCUAAUAAUACUUAUGAGCAAAUCUAGUAAUGUGUAUUAUAUGUCAUUACUGUGCCACUUACCUAUUACUGACAUGAAUUGUCUCUUAUCAGAAGUGUGUUUUAGAAUGUAUAUCCAGAGGAGAACUUGUCCCUAGACAACAACUGCGGUUGCUGCAGAGUUCAGCCAGAUGAGGCGCUGUGGGUCAUGCUGCUACGCUUCAGUAAAAGCUCAAACAGGCUGCACUAUUGAUCACCAGCCUCGGUCAGGACAAAUGGCAACUCAUUGAAAUGGGCAACAGGCUCCGGGCACAGUUGAUAGAAGCAGGACUAGAGGAACCAAUCUGAAGCUCCUUUACGACUGGCCGGGUCAUCCAACUUUCUGUUGUCAUCUGAAAGCACUGAUGAUUCCCUACAGAAUGUGUGGAAGAUGCUGGAUCGAG